UUUAUUUGUUUUGUAUUUUGUAAACAUUCUUAAACUCGUGUUUUAAAGUGAGUCGGGACGGAUGCGAACAAACGCGCGUCACCGAAUUAAAAGGUGCACAGAGUGGUAAAUGAGGGUUGGGCACUGUAAAGUAGCCCGUGUUCAUUAAUGAUCCUUCCGCAGGUUCACCUACGGAAA
rnacentral:misc_RNA from 1 species